rnacentral:tRNA from 1 species
GGGGGUGUAGCUCAGUGGUAGAGUGCUUGCCUAGCAGGCAUGAAGUCCUGGGUCCAAUCCCAGCACUGCCC